AAUGGGCGAAAGCCUGAUCCAGCCAUGCCGCGUGAGUGAUGAAGGCCUUAGGGUUGUAAAACUCUUUCAUUGGUGAAGAUAAUGACGGUAACCAAAGAAGAAGCCCCGGCUAACUUCGUGCCAGCAGCCGCGGUAAUACGAAGGGGGCUAGCGUUGUUCGGAAUUACUGGGCGUAAAGCGCGCGUAGGCGGGCUAUCAAGCCAGAGGUGAAAUCCCGGAGCUCAACUCCGGAACUGCCUUUGGAACUGGUAGCCUAGAAUAUCGGAGGGGACAGUGGAAUUCCUAGUGUAGAGGUGAAAUUCGUAGAUAUUAGGAGGAACACCAGUGGCGAAGGCGACUGUCUGGACGAUUAUUGACGCUGAGGUGCGAAAGCGUGGGGAGCAAACAGGAUU
rnacentral:rRNA from 1 species